GAUCUCUAAGUGUGAAAUUUCACACCAAAAAAAAAUGGCAAGUGUUUUUUCUCUCUAAAAUGACUAGCCUAUCAGUUUAGUCACCGAAGAUGGCGAGGAAGAAACACGAAUAACACUUCGUACUUUACUCCGUAUAAAGAAAUGGCAACUCCAUCCCCAGCCGGACUUAAGGCAAUAUAAUGCACCGGAAGCUGAUUUUAUGCACGGUUGUUUAACAAGUCGCACUGAACUGCAACAUAACAUCAACUGCAAAGUAUAUGAGCUGAGCCAGAGCUAGAAAGAGAAAGUGAGAGGAUGAAGAAGAAGAAGAAGAAGAAAAGGGGUUUUGAUUACAUGAUUUUUACCCUAUUUGUGGAAAUACUGUUUUUUGGUACUGGUUUAAUUUUGGAUGUUUAAUUAUUUAUGGACAAGAUCAUGUGACUGAAUAUGAAAGCAAAUAUACUAUCCUAGAUUUGAAGUUAUAAAUAAAACCUUUAGAUUUUUGUUUUCUGUUUUUUUUUUCCUGUAGUUUUUAUAUGACUGCUACAUUAUUGUUUGCAGAAAACAGGGAAGUAGUUGGUUUGAUAAAUAAAAGAAAGGCUAAAAGCUUCAUAAGCAUUUAAUGUCUUUUUCAUUUCAGAAUUAGGGUUUUCUUUUUGAUUCACGACUCACGAGUGCUUUACACUUUUAGUUACCUUUAGUCAUUAGGUCAAAGCGUGCAGAUUCAAGACAAAACUUUUUUUUGUUUUUUGUUUUUCAAGGAUGGAGUCCUACCUGCGGGCAGGAUUUUCAUCCAACAAUCGGUUAUACUUUGCAAGAUACAAAGUAUUUUUGGAGGUAUAGCCCUUUUAAUCAUAAGUGUAUCGUGUAAAUAUGAACGUCGUGUUGCUUGGCUUUAAAAAGUGUUCAAGUUAAUUGUUAGGAGAAAUUCCUGAGUGUUUUUAUUUUAUACUCCAUAAUGAUCCUUCUACUUAAUUUUAGCACCCUCCCUAUCACAGUCGGAGCAACACCGGCCACUGCCUAGCCGAAUAAACUCCCCUAAAUAUAGUUCCGGGAUAGCUCGAUAUUCUCACUACACAAGCCAUUAAAGAUGGACUCAAAUACCGUCCCCUUUGCGAAUAAUUCUACCACAGGGCCGGGUAUUCAGAUCCAUCAUAACCUAGUAAAAAAAAUCUAACAAAUCAAAUAAUCAACAGGGUAAGUAAUCAAUUAUGACUGUCCCUUUCACAAAGGGUAGUUCCGUCGAGGCUGUUUUUUCGCAUAUCAGAUAUGUGUGGAAACACACAUAUCAGCUAAAAGACAAGUAGCUAAAAGACAAAAUAGGAAGUACCAUUCUGUAAAAAAAAGUACCAUUCUGUAAAAAAAAGUACAAUUCUGUUAAAAAAAGUACCAUUUUUAUUUUAAAAAGUACCAUUUAAUUUCUUUUUUGUCCGUUUUCCUAUUUUGUCUUUUGCUAUGAUAUGUAUUUGCAAGCACAUAUCUGAUAUCCGA